rnacentral:rRNA from 1 species
CGGACGGGUGAGUAACACGUGGAUAACCUACCUAUAAGACUGGGAUAACUUCGGGAAACCGGAGCUAAUACCGGAUAAUAUUUUGAACCGCAUGGUUCAAAAGUGAAAGACGGUCUUGUUGUCACUUAUAGAUGGAUCCGCGCUGCAUUAGCUAGUUGGUAAUGUAACGGCUUACCAAGGCAACGAUGCAUAGCCGACCUGAGAGGGUGAUCGGCCACACUGGAACUGAGACACGGUCCAG